rnacentral:rRNA from 1 species
UAGUUAAAACUUUCAACAACGGAUCUCUUGGUUCUGGCAUCGAUGAAGAACGCAGCGAAAUGCGAUAAGUAAUGUGAAUUGCAGAAUUCAGUGAAUCAUCGAAUCUUUGAACGCACAUUGCGCCCUCU